rnacentral:rRNA from 1 species
AGUGAACGCUGGCGGUAGGCCUAACACAUGCAAGUCGAACGGCAGCACAGUAAGAGCUUGCUCUUACGGGUGGCGAGUGGCGGACGGGUGGGGAAUACAUCGGAAUCUACUUUUUCGUGGGGGAUAACGUAGGGAAACUUACGCUAAUACCGCAUACGACCUACGGGUGAAAGCAGGGGAUCUUCGGACCUUGCGCGAUUGAAUGAGCCGAUGUCGGAUUAGCUAGUUGGCGGGGUAAAGGCCCACCAAGGCGACGAUCCGUAGCUGGUCUGAGAGGAUGAUCAGCCACACUGGAACUGAGACACGGUCCAGACUCCUACGGGAGGCAGCAGUGGGGAAUAUUGGACAAUGGGCGCAAGCCUGAUCCAGCCAUACCGCGUGGGUGAAGAAGGCCUUCGGGUUGUAAAGCCCUUUUGUUGGGAAAGAAAAGCAGCAGGUUAAUACCCCGCUGUUCUGACGGUACCCAAAGAAUAAGCACCGGCUAACUACGUG